GACGAACGCUGGCGGCGUGCUUAACACAUGCAAGUCGAACGGAAAGGCCCUGCUUUUGUGGGGUGCUCGAGUGGCGAACGGGUGAGUAACACGUGAGUAACCUGCCCUUGACUUUGGGAUAACUUCAGGAAACUGGGGCUAAUACCGGAUAAGAGCUCCUGCUGCAUGGUGGGGGUUGGAAAGUUUCGGCGGUUGGGGAUGGACUCGCGGCUUAUCCGCUUGUUGGUGGGGUAGUGGCUUACCAAGGCUUUGACGGGUAGCCGGCCUGAGAGGGUGACCGGCCACAUUGGGACUGAGAUACGGCCCAGACUCCUACGGGAGGCAGCAGUGGGGAAUAUUGCACAAUGGGCGGAAGCCUGAUGCAGCAACGCCGCGUGCGGGAUGACGGCCUUCGGGUUGUAAACCGCUUUCGCCUGUGACGAAGCGUGAGUGACGGUAAUGGGUAAAGAAGCACCGGCUAACUACGUG
rnacentral:rRNA from 1 species